AAAAUCGCCCGGUCGGGCGAUGUGUUCUGCGAAAUUGAAAUUGCUAUUAUUUCCGCCCCGGGGAAGUUUAGGAGAGUUGGAAGCUGGAAGUUCGCAGGUGAAAUGGGCAAAGCAUGCAGAGAUAAGGAAUUCGCCCGGUCGGGCGAUUCUGAGCUUCAAAAACGCCCGGUCGGGCGUUACGCAUGAGGAUUCCAGAAAGUUCGCCCGGUCGGGCGAUUAUUGACGACACAAAACGCCCGGUCGGGCGUUUCCCCACGAUACCUCCAGUAGCACUUCGCCCGGCCGGGCGUUUCUACCCUUUGAAUUCGCCCGGUCGGGCGUUUCAGUCGCGCAACUGCGAUUUGGCAGUUUAGACGGCGGUUGAGGAGUAAAAAUAAGCGAAAAAGGAAUCAGAGACGGGGGGGAACGAUUUUUACAGAGAAAAACAGAGAGAAAGGAGGGGAGGAAGAAGAGAAGGAAGGCAUUCCAGCCAUUGUUCCGACCAUCUAUUCCCGAUUCCCGACUCCACUCGACGAGAGCAGCACACCUAUGGUUUUAUUUCUACAUUCUACCAUAUGUAAAGGCUAGGCUCUCUUUGUUGCUCCAAGUUGUAAUCUAGGCUUGUAUAGUUGUUUUAACACCUUGAAUCAUACGUUUGAUACCAACAAUGUGUUUGAUAAUUAAAAUGCUACGUUUUUUGCUAA